UAGGGAAUCUUCGGCAAUGGGGGGAACCCUGACCGAGCAACGCCGCGUGAGUGAAGAAGGUUUUCGGAUCGUAAAGCUCUGUUGUUAAGGAAGAACGAGUGUGAGAAUGGAAAGUUCAUACUGUGACGGUACUUAACCAGAAAGGGACGGCUAACUACGUGCCAGCAGCCGCGGUAAUACGUAUGUCCCGAGCGUUGUCCGGAUUUAUUGGGCGUAAAGCGAGCGCAGGCGGUUAGAUAAGUCUGAAGUUAAAGGCAGUGGCUCAACCAUUGUAGGCUUUGGAAACUGUUUAACUUGAGUGCAGAAGGGGAGAGUGGAAUUCCAUGUGUAGCGGUGAAAUGCGUAGAUAUAUGGAGGAACACCGGUGGCGAAAGCGGCUCUCUGGUCUGUAACUGACGCUGGGGCUCGAAAGCGUGGGGAGCGAACAGG
rnacentral:rRNA from 1 species